GAUGAACGCUGGCGGCGUGCCUAAUACAUGCAAGUCGAGCGAACAGACGAGGAGCUUGCUCCUCUGACGUUAGCGGCGGACGGGUGAGUAACACGUGGAUAACCUACCUAUAAGACUGGGAUAACUUCGGGAAACCGGAGCUAAUACCGGAUAAUAUAUCGAACCGCAUGGUUCAAUAGUGAAAGACGGUUUUGCUGUCACUUAUAGAUGGACCCGCGCUGCAUUAGCUAGUUGGUAAGGUAACGGCUUACCAAGGCAACGAUGCGUAGCCGACCUGAGCGGGUGGUCGGCCACACUGGAACUGAGACACGGUCCAGACUCCUACGGGAGGCAGCAGUAGGGAAUCUUCCGCAAUGGGCGAAAGCCUGACGGAGCAACGCCGCGUGAGUGAUGAAGGUCUUCGGAUCGUAAAACUCUGUUAGUAGGGAAGAACAAAUGUGUAAGUAACUAUGCACGUCUUGACGGUACCUAAUCAGAAAGCCACGGCUAACUACGUG
rnacentral:rRNA from 1 species